UACGGAGGAUCCAAGCGUUAUCCGGAUUCAUUGGGUUUAAAGGGUGCGUAGGCGGAAUGGUAAGUCAGUGGUGAAAGCCUACAGCUUAACUGUAGAAUUGCCGUUGAUACUGCCAAUCUUGAGUGCAGUUGAUGUGGGCGGAAUAUGACAUGUAGCGGUGAAAUGCUUAGAUAUGUCAUAGAACACCGAUUGCGAAGGCAGCUCACAAAACUGUAACUGACGCUGAGGCACGAAAGCGUGGGGAUCGAACAGGAUUAGAAACCCCUGUAGUCC
rnacentral:rRNA from 1 species